UACGUAGGGUGCAAGCGUUGUCCGGAAUUAUUGGGCGUAAAGGGCUCGUAGGCGGUCUGUCACGUCGGGAGUGAAAGCUCAGGGCUUAACCCUGAGCCUGCUUCCGAUACGGGCAGACUAGAGGUAUGCAGGGGAGAACGGAAUUCCUGGUGUAGCGGUGAAAUGCGCAGAUAUCAGGAGGAACACCGAUGGCGAAGGCAGGUCUCUGGGCUGUAACUGACGCUGAGGAGCGAAAGCAUGGGGAGCGAACAGG
rnacentral:rRNA from 1 species